UACGUAGGUGACCAGCGUUGUCCGGAUUUACUGGGCGUAAAGAGCGCGCAGGCGGUCGUUUCAAGUCGAGUGUGAAAGCCCCCGGCUCAACUGGGGAGGGUCAUUCGAUACUGAUCGACUCGAAGGCAGGAGAGGGAAGUGGAAUUCCCGGUGUAGUGGUGAAAUGCGUAGAUAUCGGGAGGAACACCAGUGGCGAAGGCGACUUCCUGGCCUGUUCUUGACGCUGAGGCGCGAAAAGCUAGGGGGAGCAAACGGGG
rnacentral:rRNA from 1 species